GCGGUAGUACGCAAUGGGUCAGUGUGUCUGGCUGUUAACCAGAAGGUUGGUGGUUUGAGUCCACACAGGGAUG